GAUCCUGGCUCAGGAUGAACGCUAGCGACAGGCUUAACACAUGCAAGUCGAGGGGCAGCACGGUGUAGCAAUACACUGGUGGCGACCGGCGCACGGGUGAGUAACACGUGUGCAGCCAACCCCGUACCGGGAGAUAACCCGCGGAAACGUGGACUAACAUCCCACUAACAACUCUAGAGCCGCAUGGUUCUGGAUUUAAAAUUUACCGGUGGUACGGGACGGGCACGCGCGACAUUAGGUAGUUGGCGGGGUAACGGCCC
rnacentral:rRNA from 1 species